rnacentral:rRNA from 1 species
CACGUAGGGGGCGAGCGUUGUCCGGAUUUAUUGGGCGUAAAGAGCUCGUAGGCGGUUUCGUAAGUCGGGUGUGAAAACUCUAGGCUCAACCUAGAGACGCCACCCGAUACUGCGAUGACUAGAGUCCGGUAGGGGAGUGUGGAAUUCCUGGUGUAGCGGUGAAAUGCGCAGAUAUCAGGAGGAACACCAACGGCGAAGGCAGCACUCUGGGCCGGAACUGACGCUGAGGAGCGAAAGCGUGGGUAGCGAACAGG